GGGAGCGUAGUUCAACGGUCAGAAUAUCCGUCUUCAAAACGGAUGAUGCGGGUUCGAUUCCUGCCGCUCCCG
rnacentral:tRNA from 1 species